UACGUAGGGUGCAAGCGUUGUCCGGAAUUAUUGGGCGUAAAGAGCUCGUAGGCGGUUUGUCGCGUCUGCUGUGAAAACUCAGGGCUUAACCCUGAGCCUGCAGUGGGUACGGGCAGACUAGAGUGUGGUAGGGGAGAUCGGAAUUCCUGGUGUAGCGGUGGAAUGCACAGAUAUCAGGAGGAACACCGGUGGCGAAGGCGGAUCUCUGGGCCAUAACUGACGCUGAGGAGCGAAAGCAUGGGGAGCGAACAGG
rnacentral:rRNA from 1 species